GACGAACGCUGGCGGCGUGCCUAACACAUGCAAGUCGAGCGAGUGAAUCUCCUUCGGGAGUGAAGCUAGCGGCGGACGGGGGAGUAACACGUGGGCAACCUGCCUCAUAGAGGGGAAUAGCCUUUCGAAAGGAAGAUUAAUACCGCAUAAGAUUGUAGCUUCGCAUGAAGUAGCAAUUAAGGGAGCAAUCCGCUAUGAGAUGGGCCCGCGGCGCAUUAGCUAGUUGGUGAGGUAACGGCUCACCAAGGCGACGAUGCGUAGCCGACCUGAGAGGGUGAUCGGCCACAUUGGGACUGAGACACGGCCCAGACUCCUACGGGAGGCAGCAGUGGGGAAUAUUGCACAAUGGGGGAAACCCUGAUGCAGCAACGCCGCGUGAGUGAUGACGGCCUUCGGGUUGUAAAGCUCUGUCUUCAGGGGCGAUAAUGACGGUACCUGAGGAGGAAGCCACGGCUAACUACGUGCCAGCAGCCGCGGUAAUAC
rnacentral:rRNA from 1 species